GUGUAAAGAAUACUACCACUUAUAUUUUACCUGAUGUAAUAGCUAUAGGUAUAGAAUUGUAGAGAGAUAUAUAUACAUAUAGACGUAGAUAUAGAUGUGUGCUCAGAAUAAUUCAGGAAAGCUAGUUAAGAAAGUGGUAACUGGUUGCCUCUGGGAAAAGAAACCAGGGGGCUGGCAGCAGGGAUAAGACAGAUAUUUUUCACCGUGUAUCUUAUUCACAGUUGAAUUUUGCAUGACGUACUGCUUUAAAAAUAAUGAAAUGCAUGAGAGCUCUCUUCGAAGCCAGCCACUGGAGAAAGAAGCUAGAGUAUUGAACAAUGCAGGACCAUGUGAAAAGAGGAGCUCAGCCAAUACCUAUACCAAGGCCCAGAUAUAAGGGUGAAGCCAUCCUGGACAUGCCAGCCUCAGAAUUCCAGAGCAGCUUGGCUGGACAGUUCUCUCCUGAGACCUCUCACAAGGUUGCAACCAGAUGGCUAGAGCGGCAGCCAUCAGGAGGCUGGACAGUGAUGGAGGAUCCACCUGCACUCCCCCGCAUGGCUGGCUUGUAGUAAAAUGUUUGCACUGAAAUCAGUAAAGUAAACCUUUGUACACUAUGUGGAAAUUAAUAAACAGAAACUUUAUUAAAAUGGAGACAGGAGGCUAAAAGAGGAAGCUCUGACACCCUGUGAAGAUAGCAGGGCCCAACAGGAAGAAAGACUUUCUCUUCUUGUCAGCAACAGCUCAGGCCUAUGAGAGACUACCACAACUCAGCCAAGGAGAAGCAACUACACUUCCAACUCCCGGUCCCCUCCAACGAACUCUUUCUUUACUUUCGCCCUCCCAACUUGCUCUUCCCCUCUACAAAAGAGUUUCUCCUCUCCUUGCUGCACCAGGACUUGCAGAUGGCUUGGCAUGGUUGUAGACCUCAGAUUGCAGUUCUUUGCUGAUCCCAAAUAAACCC
rnacentral:lncRNA from 1 species